CGAAGGUGACAAAUGGUUGUGCCUGGCUCCUUGUAUGCCACACAUGGACACCAAUCUUUGGGUGAUUGGUGACUGUGGGUGGUGUGCAAGGAGCCAAGCAUGCCUCUUCUCUCUCUCU
rnacentral:pre_miRNA from 15 species